CCCUGAGCCUGAAGGUUAUGGUUUUCUUUCGUGAUUCGUCCGGUGAAAUACUAGCUUGAUGAGCCAGGUCCGCCUACUUAUACUUGAUGUUGUUGUGCUUGCAAUAUAUUUUUCUUGCUUCGGUGCAUAAUAUGUUCAGAAAUACUUGGUUCAUUUCGAUCACCGCCUCUGUGUACGUUAUACAAGUGUUGUUGUUUGGCAUGUGAAAUACUAGCUUGAUGAGCCAGGUCCGCCUACUUAUACUUGAUAUUGUUAUGCCUGCAAUUUAUCUUCCUUGUUUUUGUGCAUAAUAUGUUCAGAAAUGCUUGGUUCAUUUCGAUCACCGCUUAAUAUCUGGCAGAAGAUUGAUAUUAACUAUGAUGGUUCUCUGUAUUUUCUCUCAAAUACUCAUGUCUUGUUUAUUAAGAUGGACGGGCACCGCAACACCGCAUUCAUGUUCUAGAUCUUGUGUAUCAUCUGGCUUUACAAUUGAAACUCAUGAAUGGAGAAUUGUUUAUCUGCCAAGGGAGUGCAGACUGGACAACAUUGAUGGACUUCUACGCGGAUGCAUAGAACGAUGACGCGGAAGAAAAGGGCAUCGGCUUGCAGCAAAAUAGCAGAGGGGGAGUGACAUGCUCGUUUCUUUGGGAUUUUAUUCAGGGACUGCUCACAGACACUAUGGCUGCUCGACAGGUACACCUGCUCAUGCAAUUUUACCGUUCUGUAAAUUUAUU